rnacentral:rRNA from 1 species
GACGAACGCUGGCGGCGCGCUUAACACAUGCAAGUCGAGCGAAGCGGCGGACGGGUGAGUAACACGUGAGUAACCUGCCUUAGACAUUGGGAUAGCCUCGGGAAACCGGGAUUAAUACCAAAUGGUCUAAGAUGGACUCGCGUCCCAUUAGCUAGUUGGUGGGUAACGGCCCACCAAGGCGACGAGGGGUAGCCGGCCUGAGUGGGUGAACGGCAACAUUGGAACUGAGAGACGGUCCAACCUCGACGGUAGGCAGCAGUGGGGAAUAUUGCACAAGGGAGGGAACGCUGAGGCAGCGACGCCGCAUGAACGAAGAAGGCUUGAGAGUCGUAAAGUUCUUUUAUAUGGGAAGCGGUACCAUAAGAAAAAGCCCCGGCUAACUACGUGCCAGCAGCCGCGGUAAUAC